UUUGCUUCUCUUGAGGCAACAGCGGCACUUAAAACUACCGUAUCACCAUAGCGAACUAAAACAGCUCCAUUCGCUUGUUUUGCUAGUUGGCCGACUUCAACCUGUAAAAGACGACCUCCCCAUGUCGUUUUGAAUACUUGUUUUUCUGACAUAACUGCUCCUUUUCUUUCUCGUGAAAGCAAGA
rnacentral:ncRNA from 1 species